rnacentral:misc_RNA from 1 species
GAAAUGCGAUAAUUAAUGUGAAUUGCAGAAUUCAGUGAAUCAUCGAGUCUUUGAACGCUCAUUGCGCCCCCUGGUAUUCCGGGGGGCAUGCCUGUCCGAGCGUCAUUGCUGCCCUCAAGCACGGCUUGUGUGUUGGGCUUCCGUCCCUGGCAACGGGGACGGGCCCAAAAGGCAGUGGCGGCACCAUGUCUGGUCCUCGAGCGUAUGGGGCUUUGUCACCCGCUCCCGUAGGUCCAGCUGGCAGCUAGCCUCGCAACCAAUCUUUUUAACCAGGUUGACCUCGGAUCAGGUAGGGAUACCCGCUGAACUUAAGC